rnacentral:rRNA from 1 species
GUGCCAGCAGCCGCGGUAAUACGGAGGAUGCAAGCGUUAUCCGGAUUCAUUGGGUUUAAAGGGUGCGCAGGCGGGGCAAUAAGUCAGUGGUGAAAUCCUGCGGCUUAACCGUAGAACUGCCAUUGAUACUGUUGCCCUUGAGUAUAGUUGAGGUGGGCGGAAUAUGUAAUGUAGCGGUGAAAUGCAUAGAUAUUACAUAGAACACCAAUUGCGAAGGCAGCUCACUAAGCUAUCACUGACGCUGAGGCACGAAAGCGUGGGGAGCGAACAGGAUUAGAUACCCUGGUAGUCC